rnacentral:ncRNA from 2 species
CGGGAAGCCGGUGCGAGUCCGGCGCGGUCCCGCCACUGUGAGCCGGCGCCGUCGUGCACGGGGCCGGUGAGCCAGACACCG